rnacentral:snRNA from 1 species
AGCUUUGCUCAGUGGCAGUAUCAUAGCCAAGGAGGUUUAUUUGAGGCGCGAUUAUUGCUAAUUGAAAGAUCAAGCAUAUCUGGAAUUUAAACUAUGGAGGAAACAUUAACAGUUCACAGCCCUAUGGA